UACGUAGGGGGCAAGCGUUGUCCGGAUUUAUUGGGCGUAAAGAGCGUGUAGGCGGUUUGGUAGGUCCGCUGUGAAAACUCGAGGCUCAACCUCGAGACGCCGGUGGAAACCAUCAGACUAGAGUCCGGAAGAGGAGAGUGGAAUUCCUGGUGUAGCGGUGAAAUGCGCAGAUGUCAGGAAGAACACCCGUGGCUAAGGCGGCUCUCUAGUACGGUACUGACGCUGAGACGCGAAAGCGUGGGGAGCGAACAGG
rnacentral:rRNA from 1 species